AAUCAGCAUCCAAGGAAGUCUCAAGGUGAGGCUGCAAUGCAGCCUUCUCAACAGGAUUCUAUAGAGAAGUGGGAUGCUAACUGAUUUCCAGAGGUGGCCUUGUUCCAGGGCUCUCUGAAAAUGCUACCUGGUGAUGAACUUGACUUUGUUCUUCUGAGCUGAGGGCACUGGCCCAGUGGGCCAUCUCACCAUGGCUCUACUCACCUGGUGGCCAGCAGAGUCCACUGAGAGCUGACUUCUGGGAGUCGUUGCUGGAAGAGAGUCUGGCAGGAAAGAAUUGUCAAGUAUCUCAGCUGACUCCCCAGAGGAGAUGAAUAUCCGCCCCAGGGACAGCCAAGCAUAACAUCAGUCCUCUCUGGGCCAGCAAGAUGACUCAGCAAUAAAAGCACUCGCUGCCAAGUGUGACCCAACUGAAUUCAAUUCCCAGAACCUACAGAGUUGAACCAGAUAACCAACUCGUGCAAACUGCUCCGACCCCUACAUGGACAGCAUGGCAUAGCUGGUGGUGCUGUUUGGGAAGGCUAUGAAGGCUUCAGAAGGUGGAGGCUUGUUGGAGGAAGAGGAUCACUGGUGAUGUGCCUUGAUGUUUUAAAGUCUGGCCAAUUUCCCGUUUGUUCUUUAACUGCCUAGGCAAUGUGUCCAAAAGACUCAAGCUCCUGGAGUCAUGUUUUUCUACCAUGAUGGACUUCAUCCCUUCAAACUGUGAGCCAAGAUAAAUUCUUCCUUCUUUGGGUUGUUUCUUCUUGGGUAUUUGGUCACAGCAAUGAGAAGGGAUCGCCACUGCUGGUUGAGCUCCACUGUUUCAAUGGUUCCUGCACCUGCACGAGAAAGCUACACAUCUGCAUCUCCUUGGUCGUGGAGUCCAAGGUGGUUCCCAGCUGCCCAUGGAGUCCUCUUCAGAGGACUGACAAGCUGGAGAUGGAAACUACAUUUGGAGUCCUGCUCCAGGAGGGAAAACGGAAAAACAAGACACUGCCCCCAGAUGCAUCCAGGCAGGAGCUCAUUUCCAUCCCAAAUUGGCUCCAGAGGGCGAAGGCUUCUGGGAGAUACCAGGUUCCUUCUGCAGGAUGAGAAAAUCAGUUCAACAAUCCUCUACCCACACCUCAUCCCUGAACUUUGGAUUUCAUCUUCAGCAGCAUCAAGAGGCAAGCAGCAAAUCGUUGUUUGCAUACCACAAGUGAUGGGGAGCUCAUUACACUGCAAACUUCUCAUUCAGCUUCUGAACACCAGGAUGCCCUCAGUGUGCUCCAUCGUUGGAGCUGAUGUUGGUUCUCUGAGGGCCACCCUCAUGAGGAUGGAGCUUGGCUCGCCAAUUCAGUCCUGCAGAGGUUUACAAACCAAGUUCAUUUAAGAGAUUCUUUUUGUUUCCAGUAACUGUUUGGCUAAGUCUUCAGCUUCUGAGGCUAGUGAUUGGGAAGGCUCAUGCGGGUCUGUUUUUAAAGGUAUAACUUGGCUCAUAUAAAGCUAAAGUCUGGCCUGAUUCAGUGCUGCCCUAAGAAAAGCCAUUUGCUCAAAGGUGUUUACAGAGGAGGGAAACAGUGGGUUUCAGCUGCUUGGUUCUGUUCUGGGGGGGGGGGGCAUUGGAUUCCAGCAAUCAUCAAGAAUGAUCUGGUCUGACUGUGACUCACUGGGCCUGAAUGAAUUACCUCUUCCCCUUUGAUAUCAGUUCCUUCCAGGACUUUCGUAAAGAAUUCAAGAGCAAGUGGAGCCUCCAGCUUAGCCCUUUACCCCAUUUUACAGAUAAGGAAGACUGAGAGAGUGAGUCCCAGAAAGAGGAAUUGAAUUACCUUGGGGGAAACUACUAAAGCCUAAAUCUUGUGGCUUUCACUUUCAGUGUGCUAGUACUUCACAACCAGGUUUUCUCUUACUCCCUGGAUUUUAGAGCCUUUUUCUUCCCCCUACCUCAGUUUUCCCAGACUGAUCCAGACUUCAGAGGUCACCAACCUCCAGCCUUGAGCUCCCCUCAAACCUGGAGCUCAGCACAUACUUAUGUCGUGAACUUUUCCCCACAGAGACAAGAUUAAAGGGAGAUGUUAAUAUUCAAGCAACCUUGCUAAACAAGC
rnacentral:lncRNA from 1 species